rnacentral:rRNA from 1 species
AGCUCCAAUAGCGUAUAUUAAAGUUGUUGCGGUUAAAAAGCUCGUAGUUGAAUUUCUGCUGAGCCAACCGGUCCGCCCUCUGGGUGAGCAUCUGGCUUUGUCUUAGCAUGUAUUUGGAGAACACAACUGCACUUGAUUGUGUGGUAUGCUAUCCAAGUGUUUUACUUUGAGGAAAUCAGAGUGUUUCCAGCAGGCAUAUGCCUUGUAUAUAUUAGCAUGGAAUAAUGAAGUAAGGCUUUGGUUUUAUUUUGUUGGUUUAUAGAAUUGUUGCAAUGAAUAAUAAGGACAGUUGAGGGCAUUUGUAUUUAAUUGUCAGAGGUGAAAUUCUUGGAUUUGUUAAAGACAAACUAUUGCGAAAGCAUUUGCCACGGAUGUUUUCA